rnacentral:misc_RNA from 1 species
AUUUUGUCACCUUUAUUAAUAAUUAUUCUCGUUGCACUUGGUUAUCUUUAAUGAAGGUUAUUUUUAAUGAACAAUCGUUCUGAGUUAUUUUUUAUUUUUCAAAAAAUUGUUUGCUAAGAUACGUUUCUCGAUUUUGUACUUCUAUUAAAGUGUUCCGUAGUGAUAAUGCACAAGAAUAUUUUUCUCUUCCUUUUUAAACCCUUAUGUCUUCUCAAGGUAUCAUUCAUCAAUCUUCUUGCGCUCAUACUCCUCAACAAAAUGGA